rnacentral:rRNA from 1 species
UACGUAGGUGACCAGCGUUGUCCGGAUUUACUGGGCGUAAAGAGUGUGUAGGCGGUGUUCUAAGUUUGUCGUGAAAUCUCCCGGCUUAACUGGGAGGGUGCGGCGAAAACUGGAAUGCUAGAGGAUGGGAGAGGUAAGCGGAAUUCCUGGUGUAGCGGUGAAAUGCGUAGAUAUCAGGAGGAACACCUGUGGUGUAGACAGCUUACUGGACCAUUUCUGACGCUGAGACACGAAAGCGUGGGUAGCAAACAGG